rnacentral:rRNA from 1 species
AACGAACGCUGGCGGCAGGCUUAACACACGCAAGUCGAACGCCCCGCAAGGGGAGUGGCAGACGGGUGAGUAACGCGUGGGAACAUACCCUUUCCUGCGGAAUAGCUCUGGGAAACUGGAAUUAAUACCGCAUACGCCCUACGGGGGAAAGAUUUAUCGGGGAAGGAUUGGCCCGCGUUGGAUUAGCUAGUUGGUGGGGUAAAGGCCUACCAAGGCGACGAUCCAUAGCUGGUCUGAGAGGAUGAUCAGCCACAUUGGGACUGAGACACGGCCCAAACUCCUACGGGAGGCAGCAGUGGGGAAUAUUGGACAAUGGGCGCAAGCCUGAUCCAGCCAUGCCGCGUGAGUGACGAAGGCCUUAGGGUUGUAAAGCUCUUUCACCGAUGAAGAUAAUGACGGUAGUCGGAGAAGAAGCCCCGGCUAACUUCGUGCCAGCAGCCGCCGUAAAAC